AGAGUUUGAUCCUGGCUCAGGAUGAACGCUAGCGAUAGGCCUAACACAUGCAAGUCGAGGGGCAGCAUAGAGUAGCAAUACUUUGAUGGCGACCGGCGCACGGGUGAGUAACACGUAUGCAACCUACCUACAUCAGGGGAAUAACCCGGAGAAAUUCGGACUAAUACCGCAUAAUACAGGGAUGCCGCAUGGUAAUAUUUGUUAAAGAUUUAUCGGAUGUAGAUGGGCAUGCGUUCCAUUAGCUAGUUGGUAAGGUAACGGCUUACCAAGGCAACGAUGGAUAGGGGAACUGAGAGGUUUGUCCCCCACACUGGAACUGAGACACGGACCAGACUCCUACGGGAGGCAGCAGUGAGGAAUAUUGGUCAAUGGACGAGAGUCUGAACCAGCCAAAUCGCGUGAAGGAAGACCGCCCUACGGGUUGUAAACUUCUUUUGUACAGGAAUAAAAGACAUUACGUGUAAUGUAUUGCAUGUACUGUACGAAUAAGCAUCGGCUAACUCCGUGCCAGCAGCCGCGGUAAUACGGAGGAUGCGAGCGUUAUCCGGAUUUAUUGGGUUUAAAGGGUGCGCAGGCGGGAUUUUAAGUCAGCGGUGAAAUUUUCAGGCUCAACCUGAACACUGCCGUUGAAACUGGGAUUCUUGAGUAUGGAUGAAGUAGGCGGAAUUCGUUGUGUAGCGGUGACAUGCUUAGAUAUAACGAGGAACUCCGAUUGCGUAGGCAGCUUACUAAGCCAUAACUGACGCUCAAGCACGAAAGCGUGGGGAUCAAACAGGAUUAGAUACCCUGGUAGUCG
rnacentral:rRNA from 1 species